rnacentral:misc_RNA from 1 species
GGGCCGAUGGCGAGGAGCGGAGGUGGGUGACGGAAAGAGGGAAAUGGGAAUUUCAAAAGGGAAGGGAUGGGUUUAAGAGUGAAAGAUUUUAAAUAAAGAAAGCUGGGGUGAGAAGAAAGAGAGUGCAAUUGCGAAGUGAAAGUGAAAGCCAUGAAAAGGAGAAAGAGAAGUUGCAGAGAAUGGAGAUGAGGGUUUGGAGGGGAAAGGGGA